GAGCCCGCGGCCUAUCAGCUUGUUGGUGAGGUAAUGGCUCACCAAGGCGACGACGGGUAGCCGGCCUGAGAGGGCGACCGGCCACACUGGGACUGAGACACGGCCCAGACUCCUACGGGAGGCAGCAGUGGGGAAUAUUGCACAAUGGGCGAAAGCCUGAUGCAGCGACGCCGCGUGAGGGAUGACGGCCUUCGGGUUGUAAACCUCUUUCAGCAGGGAAGAAGCGAAAGUGACGGUACCUGCAGAAGAAGCGCCGGCUAACUACGUGCCAGCAGCCGCGGUAAUACGUAGGGCGCAAGCGUUGUCCGGAAUUAUUGGGCGUAAAGAGCUCGUAGGCGGCUUGUCACGUCGGGUGUGAAAGCCCGGGGCUUAACCCCGGGUCUGCAUUCGAUACGGGCUAGCUAGAGUGUGGUAGGGGAGAUCGGAAUUCCUGGUGUAGCGGUGAAAUGCGCAGAUAUCAGGAGGAACACCGGUGGCGAAGGCGGAUCUCUGGGCCAUUACUGACGCUGAGGAGCGAAAGCGUGGGGAGCGAACAGGAUUAGAUACCCUGGUAGUCCACGCCGUAAACGGUGGGAACUAGGUGUUGGCGACAUUC
rnacentral:rRNA from 1 species